AAAAGUGUAGAAAUAUUGAAGUUUCCCAUGGGAUGGAAAUUUUGAUUUUCACCUAGCUGCAACCCCACGACGGCAGGGCAGCCUGAUGGGCGCUACUUUAGGCUUUUCCUUAGGCACUGGGAGAGCCAUGUAGGAAAGUGCAGAGCAUACUCACACUGAGCCUGGCUAUGGCUAUUGCCAUAGAAGAGAAAAGCCCCAGCUACGAUUUUCUCUAGAUGGGGCCACGGACUGCAAGCAUCCCCAUCCCUGCCUGGUGGUUGAAACUGGAGAGCACGGAGGGCUUCCAGGGACAGGUACUUGGUCUUGCCAUGUGAUUUGGACUCGCUGCCCGAUUCUUGCUUUAAUAAGCAAAUGCCAUGACUCAGGAGCAGACGAAAUGAAGGUCACUGAGAACAGUGGAUCUGCACAGGGCAUUCAUUCUGCACAGAUAUGCUGGUCAGCUCUGCAGCAUCCCCAAGUCCUGAAUUCUCUGAAGCCCGUAGGAAUGCUGCAGUUUCAAAGCACUGUGAGCAAGACUGAAAGAAGGCAUCUCACAGGAAAAUACCCUCCGUGCCUAUGCAGGCCACUGCUAUUUUGUUACUUCAAAAUAGCAUUUUCAAAAUGUGCUUGAAUCUCAGAAUUAACUGCUUUAUCAUCCCGCAGUUUGGAUUAAAAAAAAACAGAUGCUGAUACACAUUUAGAUCAUUUAAGAAGUAAGUUUCCUUAGCAGAAAGUAGGUUCAGCGUCUAACCUUGUUCUGGCAAAACCAAGACGGCACUUUUCUUCUGUUGCUUAUUUUUAUCCUGGUAUUCCAUAAUGCAAUGGAUGAGACAACUGAUGGGAUUUGAUUUUGAUCUCCUCUCCAGAGGAGAGGGUUUAGUGGUUUAGGCAGCAACAUUCAAAUAUGCAGCCUAUAUGGAAUAAGGUUUCACAUCCAAACCAGUCAGGCUUAGUCUUUAACUUAUCUAAAGUAGACAAAUGAGGUUGCUUUGCCAGGAUCUCCCAGGUAAAACCUCAGCCAAAGCCCUGACUGCUCCGUGGCAAUUAAAACUCCCUGGCAUUUUCUCACUCUGCUCACACAUGCUAAACAUCCCUCCGCAGCUCAUUGCACUGGGGCCUGGGGGUGCCCUAUGUGGUGGCUACUUCCCCAUGUCGAACUUGUGCUCAGGUGGCUGGUGGCUGCAGGACAGCAGGGAAAUGCUGCAGCAGAAAGGUGUGAAGUGAAUGUAAGAUAUCCCCUGAGAGAAAACAAAGAUGCUUUACCAGGAGCCAGUGCUCGCUACGUCAGAUAGGUAAUGUGCAGCACUCAUUUAACCUGUCUGUGCAGUGGUCAUCAAAGCUUUUAAUAGCUGGUACCUUCAAAAGCAAUAAAUUGUUGCUUUGAUUUGCUUUAUUCCAAACUGUAUUUAUGGACAGCUACGGGGCAUGCUCAACUUUCAUUUUUCUUUUUCCAUGAUGAAAUUUAGUUCAAGAAAAAUUGUUAAGAAAAAUGGUUGCUUCUAUUUGCCAAGAAGUCACGUUUCCCCUUUUAAAGAACAUACUUUUACAUAACCAUUUGCACGGUGAAACAGAAGGUCUGGGAGUUGUUUUCCAUCCUAUUCGUCCUAGCAAGAACAAAUAGCACGCACAUUUUUCUCAAAGCUGCAUCUUACUGACAAAGAAGACUGAAAGCAGGACUUAGACUCUCUCUUUGGAGCAGGGCCUCCCUCUCCAACCAUCAGUGUACCACAUGAAGCAUGUUUUGGUCACGACUCUUACAACAUUAAAGUUGCAAAACUGCACAGGAAAACCUGGCUAGUUAGAUUGUUCCUUGGUGCACUGCUAGGAUUUUGACAGCAGAAAAUAAGAACAAGUUUCUGUAUUAUUAUUUCUUGGUCCAAUUACAGGAAAAGUACUGCAGGAGCAGAAGAAAACUGUUUUGGCAAACUACAGAUGACUUGGUUGAAAAAGUUCAGCCAAAAGAAAAACACGGUUUUACUGUGUGGAAGCCAUACUGUGUGAUUUUGAGGAAUGAAGACAGGGGUAAAUAAGCUGCCCAGCUAUGGUGAAUUUCCCCCUCUUGGGAAGGUGUCUGUAGCUGCCAUGUAUCUGUGGCCAUUGACCCCUCUACAAUUUGGCAAAGCUGAUAGAAGCUGUCCUGCCAACAGCACAUUACUGAAUUCCUUCUGCUAUUUUACAUACACUCUUAUACACAUGGACACUACGGCAUUUUCCUGUAAUUAAGAAGGGGGCUGCAAAUCAAACCAACCAGCAUUUUCUCCUCCCCCCCAACGUACUCUGCCCCCUUCAGCAUCUUCUGCAACCUGGUGUUGUUCCUCCUGAAGGAGCUUGGCUUCCUGCAGCACACAGUGCAGACUGUGCCUUGUGAGUGGGAGAAGGGAGGUCUCGUGGAAACAGCUGCUGCCUGGAAGCACCUUGCAUGGAAAGAAAAAAGGGGUUGGACUGAUUGGAAAGGAAACCAGGCGGUAAAAUAGCCAAUCUGCUUGCCCCCACCUCAGUCAGAGGGCUGACUGAGUGAAAGGUAGCUCUGCCUGGGUGGCUUCAGUGUGUGCUCACAGAUUGGCCUUGUGUACAGUUACAUCCCAGGUCUGGUUCUGGAGAUGAGCUGAAGCCUCCUCAGGUGAAAGCAAAGACUACCUGCACUAUUCAGGGCUGUCCAGAAGAGAAAUGAAGCUCUGCUGUUGCCAAGAUGCUGACAGUGUGACAAGUGACAGACUUGCUCACUCAUCACUAUACACAGCUCCCCUAAAGUGGGAGCUGAGACCAGUGCUGCAGCACAAGUGGUGCAGCUGAGGCACUCAGCUUACAGUAGGGACUUUAGCGUGGAAGUCAUCCCUGUCCUUGGCCAGUCUUGAGGCAGAAAUGCAUUCCCAGCACCCAGCACAGCGAGAGCUCCCCAAUGAGCCUCUGUGUGGGUGCCUUGGCCUCAGAGAUGUGCAGGUGUGAACGUCGGCAGCCAGCUCCUGAGAAAACACCCUCGCACUCUGUGCUGCUUGCAGACCACACAAAAAGCCUGAAAAGCUCUUCUGCUGUUUCCAACAACUUCGCAGGCACUUCCAUGCGACCUGUGACACAGCCCUGAGCCGUGUCGCUGGCACGGACAAGCCACACAAGUUCAGCAAGAAGCCAGCAAGGAAAAUCACAGGAGCUGGAGCAGCAACUUCUUGCUUGCAGGGCUGACACCGCAGCUUGGUAUGUGCUAGGGGGCAGGGGGGGGCGUCGAUGUUUUUGCUGGGCCGCAAUGAGAGUGCCAGAGCCACUGGUUGAAUUGGGCACCGUAACCAUAGAAACGGCAAGUUUCCGGGCGGGGAUGACAGGUUGAUGGGAUUACUCUUCAAAGCACUUGCUGCCUUGGGAGAGCAGGCCGGGAGGGAGGGGACCGGAGUUAAUUUAGCGCACGCAGCAGAGCGGGGGGCAGCGGCGGCAGGUCCCUGCUGGAGUGAAGCCUGCAGCAGUGACAAGUGGCUCCUGUUCACCAGGACUUGGGCUAGUCCUGAAAUCAACCUAGGAGGCACACAGCGAUGAAGAAUGGGGGGGUGCACACAAAAAAAUAAGGCCACCCAUUUCUGAGUGACGGUCAUGACCAACAGGUGCUGUGCGCCGUACUGCUGAGGCUGCACCUCGAGUAUCUCGGUCAGGUUGGGGCCCUCACUACAAGAAUGUGGAAAGAAGGGCAACAAAGCUGGUGAAGGCACUAAAAAACAAGACUUAGGAGGAGUGACUGGGGGAAUGGGGUUGUUCAGUGUGGAGAAGAGGAGGCUGAGGGCAGACUGCAUCACUGCCUACAACUACCCGAAGGGAGGCUGCAGUGCCUGGCCCUGGUGAGGAGGUGUGAGGGGAGCCAAGGGCCUCAGUGCGUGUGAGAGGAAGGGUGUGGGGUACAGCUGUGGGGCGCAGCGUCCAGGGAGGUAGCAGACCAAGUGCCAUGGCACAGUAUGGCACAGUAUGGCACGGUCUGGCAUGGCAUGGCACGGCACAAAAUGGUGGGGGUCUCUGAGAGGGAAGGCUGCUGCCUUCUGAGGCCCAUCGCCCCAGUGCUGCGGAGGCGUUGGUGAGGUGCGAGAUGAGGCUCUUUCAGACGUGCCCUUCUCGUGCACACUCUCCUUUUAAUUCCCUCGGCCUUGGGCAUGCAAAAGGCUGCUCUCCUGUCUGCCCUCCUGACCGCUGCAGGCAGAGGUGUGAGAGGUGCACGAUGGCGCUGUCUCUACACGUUAGCAAUUUCUGGCUAAUAAAACUGCCCUUUGGGGCAUGGUUAACAAUUAGACCAACUCUGAGCGCCGGGCCCUGCCCAGUAUCACAGAGGCACAAGGUAAUUGAAAGCUGUUCGUGCUGCUGUUCCUCCUCGUGCCGGACGGAAAGGUCGAAACAAACAGACAGGCAAACAUUUCUUAUCUUCCCCCUGCAGCUGACAGCCAACUGCAGUUAUUGCCUCCGAGCCCCAGCCAUGCUCUGCCUGAUGGCUUCUGCAGGUCGCCUGGAGAAGGCAGCGCCUGCAAAGAGGUCCCAGAGCAUCCCUGGGGGCCUGGCCCCAGUGCUUUGGGGAGCUAUGGGUGGGCUGAGCUGCAGGAGGCGACUGCUGGGACCUGGAGGUCAGACCCCAUGCACAUGCAGGGCGUGCUUGCUGCCAGGUAAUUUCUCCUACCACGUUUUUUCCCUGUGUUAGGAAGGGGUUACGUGCACCUGGACGGGAGAUGUCAGGUGCAGCAUCUGCAAGCCAAACAGGCAGAAACGUCACGGCGCCUGCCAGGGACCUGCUUCUGGUCCUGCAAAAGUGAGCGAGCGGUGCAGACAGCUGUUUUCCAGCAAAAACACACAGGCUGGAAAGGUGGAUGCACUGCAAGUGCUGACACAAGCUUAAUUACGCAGCACCGCAGAACAGACAGGCUUAUGAAAAAUGCAGUGUGGGAACAGAAUAUUUCUACCACCUCCUGUUAGCUGCUUACAGGCAGCUGCAGCACUGCUCUGGGGUUCUCAGCUGCAGCUCCUACUGCCUGUAGCCUGGUCCUUGUUCCCUGCUCCUUUCCCAGAAGGGGUGCUUGGUGAAAAUACAGGCAGCUGACUGAAAUGUGCAGCAAGUGCAUGCUGAUUGCUACUUCAGCAGCUGGGAGGCUGAAGGAUGCUGUUCCAGGGGCUCGUCGCUCUCUGCUGUGACACCGGGCACGUGCCUGUCACCCUCCUGCCCUUCGGCUGCGACACUCUGAGGGAUCAGCUUUGAAAGGGAGCCCUGCUGGAGGGGCUUCAUGUGCACGAAAACUGAAUCGUGGCGAAACCGUCUCAAACAGCACAGUCUCAUUUCACCUGUGUUUCUUAGUAAUAUUAUUAUUUUUUACUAUUUAGUGCUAUUUUUAUUUUUAAUUACUUUUAUUAUUUAUUUUUAUUAUUUAG